rnacentral:misc_RNA from 1 species
CUACAGGUUAUCUUCGGAUGGCUUGUA